GGCUGCGCUGCCCGCCUCGUCGGGCGGCUGUUCCAGCGUCCAGAUCUGCUUCUUCUUCAGGCUGCUGGCCGACGCAUUCACCUUGAACCCGAACGUCUCGGCCGUCAGGAUCUCAACGCUAGAAACCUCCUGUCACACCUGACCAGGGCUGCCGGCUUUCAGGGCAUGGGCCCUGCACUUGGUCUUGACUGUUGUCCAGGGACCAGGGUUUGAGGCCCCUCGAAGCUUCAGUUCCUCGUCUGCAAAAGGACAGGAUGUGACAUCCUGGGAGUUUCCCGCCAGCAUCACUUAGAGCCGUGAACAGGGGGCUCCCCGUCUUCUCUGAGCCUCACUUUCCCUUCUCUCAAAAGGAGUAAGGAAGAUGGCAAAGUUCUGGAACAGGACCGACACGCAGGUGGAUGGAAUAGAAGAUUGAGCCCAAUUGACUUAUCCAGUCAUUUGAUUUUCACCAAAGGUGCCAAAGAAAUAGAGCCCCUGGGAACCCCGGCAUCAUUCCCGCCACUUGUGGGCUGCUCCAAGGUAAGGACCCGGCUGUCGUGGUGGCCACAGCAUCUCUGUGCUCCGUCCAGAGUCUGGCUUGUUAAAUUCCCCAUGAGGGCGCAGCAACGCCACCACCACGAUGACCCCACAGAUGGGAAGGAGCGCGUGCUGGGUGACUCCUUUUAGGAAGUUCAAGAACAGUCAAAGCUAGUCGGGGAGGUGCUGGCCAGGUGGGGCUCCAGGGGGCUUCUAGGAGCUGGAAAUGUUCGGUGUCAGCCACAGACGUAACUUUAACUGUUCCAGCGGCCUCAUUGACACGGUAAAAAUAAACCAGUGAAAUCAAUUUUAAUAAUAUAUCUUAUUGAACCCAUGAGUAUGCCCCAAAUAUGAUCAUUUCAAUAUGUAAUCAAUAUAAAAGUUACUGAGAAAUUUUUAGGUUCUCCUUGCCCUCCAAACUAAGCCAUCUGGCCCACCUACACUCCGUCAAGCUGCACCUGGCCCGCUCCCACCACAGGCCCAUCCUGGGCUCCACAGGCUGACAUCUCGGCUGGACACAUCUCAACAGACACAUACUUGUACUCAAGGUAGGUGCACUUUGUGUUGGAAGAAAGAGAGAAAGAGAAAUAGACGCGGGGGGCGAGGGAGGGAGGAAGGAAGAUGUUGUCCUUGAGUGACUGAGUCCCUGAGUCAGGAGGGGGGCUCUGGUGACCGACCAGGCACAGCCUUCGGGCCUCCCUUCCACAAAGGUGCAGAGUAAUGGGGACCAGAGGCCCUGGAGGCUGUGGGGGGGCCAUCCUUGGGGAAGCUCCCCUCCUCCAGGCAGCUGCCAGAGGCUGUGAUUCCACAGGGCCCCCAUCCAGCCCCUUAUCUCCCUCAGCUGGUAGCCCAUUGUCUUGGAAGGAAGGGAAGGGCAGA